rnacentral:rRNA from 1 species
GCCCGCUCAAGAAACUACGAAAGGAAUUGACGGGGCCCGCACAAGCGGUGGAGCAUGUGGUUAAUUCGAAGCAACGCGAAGAACCUUACCUGGUCUUGACAUCCCGGAGACCCUUAGGAAACUAGGGGGUGCUUCCAUCUGGAAGAAUCUGGAGACAGGUGGUGCAUGGUUGUCGUCAGCUCGUGUCGUGAGAUGUUGGGUUAAGUCCCGCAACGAGCGCAACCCCUAUUGCUAGUUACCAUCAUUAAGUUGGGGACUCUAGCGAGACUGCCAGUGAUAAACUGGAGGAAGGUGGGGAUGACGUCAAAUCAUCAUGCCCCUUAUGACCUGGGCUACAAACGUGAUACAAUGGCUGGAACAAAGGGAUGCGAAGCAGUGAUGUGGAGCGAAACCCAUAAAAACAGUCUCAGUUCGGAUUGAAGUCUGCAACUCGACUUCAUGAAGUCGGAAUCGCUAGUAAUCGCGGAUCAGAACGCCGCGGUGAAUACGUUCUCGGGGUUU